UAUUUUAAUGGCCGCGGUAUUUUGACCGUGCAAAGGUAGCAUAAUCAUUAGUCUAUUAAUUGUGGACUUGUAUGAAUGGUUGGACGAGAUAUAAGCUGUCUCAUAUAAAUUAUUUAAAANUUAAAUUNUGAGUUAAAAUGGUUAAAUUUUUUUAUUGGACGAAAAGACCCUAUAGAUCUUUAUUAUUUAUUUGAUUUUGUUAUUUGGUUUAUUGUUGUCAUGAAUUAAAUGAAUAAUUUUGUUGGGGUGACAUGGAAAUAUAAUUAACUCUUUAUUGUUUGUAUACAAANAUGUUUGUAUAUUUGACCUUUUAUUAUUGUUAUAAGA
rnacentral:rRNA from 1 species